ACAUACACACUGAGAGAAGCCCAAACAGCUGAUCAACUAUCUGAAAAGGGGAGGGAGGGGAAAAAUGGAAGAGGAGAAAACAAGCCUCCGGCAGGCUCCCUAGACGAUCCUAGAGCCAGCUCCAUCAACAUGCUGUUCUCCUCGCUCAAACACAGGUCUGCCAGCUUGGCAUCAGGACAACCAAGCAGCACUGCCUCGGUGAGCCACGCUGUGCUGGAGUCUGCAGGGACAGACACACAAUAACACAGGCAUUUAUUAUUACAAUGAAAAGCCUGACGAAGGCCUUCGGGGUGAAAUUCUGCACUCAAUAAACUGUAGAAGAAUUCAA